GAUGAAGAACGUAGCGAAAUGCGAUAAGUAAUGUGAAUUGCAGAAUUCAGUGAAUCAUCGAAUCUUUGAACGCAUCUUGGGCUCCUUGGUAUUCUGAGGAGCAUGCCUGUUUGAGUGUCAUUAAAUUCUCAACUACACUGACUUUGAAUUGGUGUGGCUUGGAUUUGGGGGGAAAAUUGUUGUAGGCUUUUUGUAUAGUCUGCUCCCCUGAAAUUGAUUAGCGGUACCUUUGUGGAACUGUCUACAGGUGUGAUAAUUAUCUACAUCUUAGACAUCUGCUGGAAUGCUGCUUUCUAAACCUUACUUGUAUUGACAAUCUUGACCUCAAAUCAGGUAGGACUACCCGCUGAACUUAAGCAUAUCAAUAAGCGGAGGA
rnacentral:misc_RNA from 1 species